CGGCCCAUAAGGUAAUUGGUAGGGUAACGGCCUACCAAGGCGAAGACGGUUAGGGGGUUUGAGAGCAUGGCCCCCCACAAUGGGAUUGAGAGACGGCCCAUAAUCCUACGGGAGCAGCAGCAGGGGAUAUGCACCAAUGACGGGAAGUCUGAUGCAGCGACGCCGCGUGGAUGAUGAAGGCCUUCGGUUGUAAAAUCCUUUUCGGGGGGAAGAGGAAGGACGGUACCCCCGGAAUAAGCGUCGGCUAACUACGUGCCAGCAGCCGCGGUAUACGUAGGACGCGAGCGUUAUCCGGAUUUACUGGGCGUAAAGCGUCUGUAGGCGGAGGCGUAAGUUGGGCGUGAAAGCUCCGGGCUUAACCCGGAGAGGCCGUUCAAUACUGCGCAACUAGAGGGCGUGAGAGGGGAGCGGAAUUCCCGGUGUAGCGGUAAAAUGCGCAGAUAUCGGGAGGAACACCAGUGGCGCAGGCGGCCCCCUGGACGAAGACUGACGCUCAGGUGCGAAAGCGUGGGGAGCAAACAGGAUUAGAUAGCCUGGUAGUC
rnacentral:rRNA from 1 species